AGGGCUGCACUCUUGGCAUAUGGAGGUUGCGAGGCUAGGGGUCCAGUUGGAACUUCAGCUGCCGGCUUACACCACAGCCACAGCAGCAUCAGAUCUGAGCUGCAUCUGCGACCUACACCACGGCUCAUGGCAAUGCCAGAUCCUUAACCCACUGAGGCCAGGGAUCCAACCUGAAAUCUCUUGGUUCCUAGUCGGAUUCAUUUCCACUGCACCAUGAUGGGAACUCCCUAUUACUUAAUUUCUUAUUGCAUAAAAUUCAAGUUCUUAGCAAGAUCUAUUAAAUCUUGCAGGCACAUUAUUAUUUCUUUCAGUGCUUUCACCUUUGCUGAAUGCAUCUUUCUACACAUAUAACUUAAUACUGUGAUUGACCUGUUUGGGAGAAAGACCAGUCUCAUCCUUCUCCAUGAACCAAGUAGCCAUCAGAUGUGUUCAUUUCCAACAUGGGGAAACUGAGGCUUGGAAGGACUGACUGAUUCGGGCAGGGAGCCAGUUCCUUACAUGGUAACACUCUGUCCAGUUGUCUUUCCAUUACUGACUUUGGACAUCUUGGAAUCUGGUCUGAUUCUUUGUUAUUAUGGAAAUAAGGCUUAACCAGUGAGAUAGGCUACUUACUAGGUGGGGCCAUCACUCUGAAAGCUAGAGUGGAAGCCAGUUAUGCUAAAGAGGAUUUACAUGGCAAAGCAAGAAAUGAGCCAGCUGUCAGUGUGUCUACCCCUCAGUCCAUUUUACUAUUAAGAGUGAAGGCUCUGAGGUUUUUCUUACUGACAGAUUGGAUUCCAGACAAUUGUAAUUCUAGCCUGGAGAUUUUUGGAAAUCAGUGUUUUGAAAGAUGCCAACUGAAAGUUUACUCCUAAAAUAUUUAGUGGGUUUCUCUUUGGAGAAAUAGAUGCCUUGUAAGGCCAGUGAUUAUUGCCUGCCCUGGAUAGGCCAUUAAAAAAGAACCUAAACAAAACAAAACAAACCCAAACAUUCUCAUUUUGAACGUUUACUGUAUUUUUGGCAUAGCAUGAACAAUCGUUGUUAUUUCAUCAUUAAAUCCUCUUCUCGUCUCUCCCUUCUCCUCCCUCCCUUCCCCUUCUCCUGUUCUCUUUGGUGCCCUUCUAACUGUAGGAGUUAGAUUGCUUAAUGCGCGCCCUGGGCAAAGACCAGAAGAAGUGGAUUAUGCAGUCAUGCAGUGGUGUGGGUGGGGUGAGAGUGUAAGAGAACUCUGAGUUCCGAGAAAUACAAUUAUCACAAACAAAUCUGUGGGACCUCCCUUAGAGCUGGAGGUUAAUUAGACUCCUCAUUUCCUGUGAACCUCAAAGUUCUGGAAUGUAGUCCGAAUAGUGGCAGAUAGCUGCCACUUUAUACCCACAUCAGUUGUCCAUCACCCACUUUUCAAAGAAAUCUCAGCAAUGAAAAAGUUCCUUUGCCUAUAUCUAAUUUGAAUCUUGUCAUAAAAAUAUUUUCAGAACAAAUUUUAAAACAAAUUAAAAUUUCCUUCUAAGUGCAGUUCUGAAGAGCAGUACCCUCUGUUCCUCAUAGACCUUGGAAUGGAAUUCUUUUUUUUUUUUUUUUUUUUUUUUUUUUUUUUUUUUUUUUUUUUGUCUUUUUGCCUUUUCUAGAGCCACUUCCCGCGGCAUAUGGAGGUUCCCAGGCCAGGGGUCUAAUCGGAGCUGUAGCCACCGGACGACACCAGAGCCACAGCAACGCUGGAUCUGAGCUGCGUCUGCAACCUACACCACAGCUCGUGGCAACGCCAGAUCCUUAACCCACUGAGCAAGGCCAGGGAUCGAACCUGCAACCUCAUGGUUCCUAGUCAGAUUUGCUAACCACUGCACCACAACGGGAACUCCUCCAGACCUUGGAAUUCUUAAAAAUGAAAUCUUAAGUCAUUAUGGUACCGCAGUAGUAACCAGUCCUCUAAACACAGCCCCUGGAUGGGGGAAGAAUAGUAAUUCAGUUUUGGAGAGAAAGGUCAAAUCAGAUGACUAUCUCCAGUUAGUUUUGUCCAAGGCCUUAUUGAUUUACAAUGGUUUGCUCAUCUGACAUCUGAUUUUUAUCAAGCUAUAUUCUUAUCCCUUCCUUUAUUUACAUAUCUUUUCCAGAAAUGGAUAUGAAUGAAAUAAAAAUCACAUCCUUUUAGGGUGUGGGGCAGAUCUAUUUUCCUUUCUUUGAAUUUUACCAAAUCUGUGUGUGUGUGUGUGUGUGUGUGUGUGUGUGUGUGUGUUCAGCUCACUUCCAAGAGUGCAAUUUUGUCUUGAGCUUUGUGUGACUGCUGGGUCGUCUCCCUCUUCCCACAAAUCUACAAAUGUGCAUGCUGACACACGGAAUGCAAACAAAUGGCAUGCCAUGGGUACACAACGAUGGAAAUGUACAGAGAAGCCCUCAUAGGCCAUUACAAAUGGCAGCCCCCAAGCGCCAAGUUAUUUAUAAAAAGGAGAAGCAGUGACUUCCCUACAUAGAGCUUAUAAUAAAGACGGGUUUGUCCACAAAAAAGAAUGUAGUGAUUCAGUUCUGUGCAUUUGUUUAUUGAUGAUCACUUUUUCCCCUUACGUCGUGACAUUCCACGAAGCAAACUGCAUAAUCUUCCCCUUGGAAACCAAUCCAGAACUUAGCUUUAUUUAAAAGUUUCAUUACGCUAAGGAGCAAAAUGUUCUAGCUGAUUGAAUAGAUAUCACAUGGCGGCCCACUGAUUUCUCUGUUUGGGAGAAAUGUUCAACUCCUACAGAGUAGCCCUAAAUGUUAGCUGAUUCAUGCUUAGCUUUGUUUUUGUUUUGUAUUUACUGUAGCCCAAACCACUGCCUUCCCCUCCCGCCUCCUCCCUCCCUCCCUUCCUCCCUCCCCUUCCCCUUUCCCUUCGCCCUCCCCCUUCCUUCAUUUUUCUUUCUUUGCUUCUUUGCUUCUUUCUCUCUUCCUUCCUUCCUCCCUUCCUUCCUUCCUUCCUUCCUUC
rnacentral:lncRNA from 1 species